rnacentral:rRNA from 2 species
ACGGGAGGCAGCAGUAGGGAAUCUUCCACAAUGGACGAAAGUCUGAUGGAGCAAUGCCGCGUGAGUGAAGAAGGGUUUCGGCUCGUAAAACUCUGUUGUUAAAGAAGAACACCUUUGAGAGUAACUGUUCAAGGGUUGACGGUAUUUAACCAGAAAGCCACGGCUAACUACGUGCCAGCAGCCGCGGUAAUACGUAGGUGGCAAGCGUUGUCCGGAUUUAUUGGGCGUAAAGCGAGCGCAGGCGGUUUUUUAAGUCUGAUGUGAAAGCCUUCGGCUUAACCGGAGAAGUGCAUCGGAAACUGGGAGACUUGAGUGCAGAAGAGGACAGUGGAACUCCAUGUGUAGCGGUGGAAUGCGUAGAUAUAUGGAAGAACACCAGUGGCGAAGGCGGCUGUCUAGUCUGUAACUGACGCUGAGGCUCGAAAGCAUGGGUAGCGAACAGGAUUAGAUACCCUGGUAGUCCAUGCCGUAAACGAUGAGUGCUAAGUGUUGGAGGGUUUCCGCCCUUCAGUGCUGCAGCUAACGCAUUAAGCACUCCGCCUGGGGAGUACGACCGCAAGGUUGAAACUCAAAGGAAUUGACGGGGGCCCGCACAAGCGGUGGAGCAUGUGGUUUAAUUCGAAGCUACGCGAAGAACCUUACCAGGUCUUGACAUCUUCUGCCAAUCUUAGAGAUAAGACGUUCCCUUCGGGGACAGAAUGACAGGUGGUGCAUGGUUGUCGUCAGCUCGUGUCGUGAGAUGUUGGGUUAAGUCCCGCAACGAGCGCAACCCUUAUUAUCAGUUGCCAGCAUUCAGUUGGGCACUCUGGUGAGACUGCCGGUGACAAACCGGAGGAAGGUGGGGAUGACGUCAAAUCAUCAUGCCCCUUAUGACCUGGGCUACACACGUGCUACAAUGGACGGUACAACGAGUCGCGAAGUCGUGAGGCUAAGCUAAUCUCUUAAAGCCGUUCUCAGUUCGGAUUGUAGGCUGCAACUCGCCUACAUGAAGUUGGAAUCGCUAGUAAUCGCGGAUCAGCAUGCCGCGGUGAAUACGUUCCCGGGCCUUGUACACACCGCCCGUCACACCAUGAGAGUUUGUAACACCCAAAGCCGGUGAGAUAACCUUCGGGAGUCAGCC